UUGAUUGACGGUGCUUGCACCUGAUUGAUUUUGGUCGCCAACGAGUGGCGGACGGGUGAGUAACACGUAGGUAACCUGCCCAGAAGCGGGGGACAACAUUUGGAAACAGAUGCUAAUACCGCAUAACAGCGUUGUUCGCAUGAACAACGCUUAAAAGAUGGCUUCUCGCUAUCACUUCUGGAUGGACCUGCGGUGCAUUAGCUUGUUGGUGGGGUAACGGCCUACCAAGGCGAUGAUGCAUAGCCGAGUUGAGAGACUGAUCGGCCACAAUGGGACUGAGACACGGCCCAUACUCCUACGGGAGGCAGCAGUAGGGAAUCUUCCACAAUGGGCGCAAGCCUGAUGGAGCAACACCGCGUGAGUGAAGAAGGGUUUCGGCUCGUAAAGCUCUGUUGUUAAAGAAGAACACGUAUGAGAGUAACUGUUCAUACGUUGACGGUAUUUAACCAGAAAGUCACGGCUAACUACGUGCCAGCAGCCGCGGUAAUACGUAGGUGGCAAGCGUUAUCCGGAUUUAUUGGGCGUAAAGAGAGUGCAGGCGGUUUUCUAAGUCUGAUGUGAAAGCCUUCGGCUUAACCGGAGAAGUGCAUCGGAAACUGGAUAACUUGAGUGCAGAAGAGGGUAGUGGAACUCCAUGUGUAGCGGUGGAAUGCGUAGAUAUAUGGAAGAACACCAGUGGCGAAGGCGGCUACCUGGUCUGCAACUGACGCUGAGACUCGAAAGCAUGGGUAGCGAACAGGAUUAGAUACCCUGGUAGUCCAUGCCGUAAACGAUGAGUGCUAGGUGUUGGAGGGUUUCCGCCCUUCAGUGCCGGAGCUAACGCAUUAAGCACUCCGCCUGGGGAGUACGACCGCAAGGUUGAAACUCAAAGGAAUUGACGGGGGCCCGCACAAGCGGUGGAGCAUGUGGUUUAAUUCGAAGCUACGCGAAGAACCUUACCAGGUCUUGACAUCUUGCGCCAACCCUAGAGAUAGGGCGUUUCCUUCGGGAACGCAAUGACAGGUGGUGCAUGGUCGUCGUCAGCUCGUGUCGUGAGAUGUUGGGUUAAGUCCCGCAACGAGCGCAACCCUUGUUACUAGUUGCCAGCAUUAAGUUGGGCACUCUAGUGAGACUGCCGGUGACAAACCGGAGGAAGGUGGGGACGACGUCAGAUCAUCAUGCCCCUUAUGACCUGGGCUACACACGUGCUACAAUGGACGGUACAACGAGUCGCGAACUCGCGAGGGCAAGCAAAUCUCUUAAAACCGUUCUCAGUUCGGACUGCAGGCUGCAACUCGCCUGCACGAAGUCGGAAUCGCUAGUAAUCGCGGAUCAGCAUGCCGCGGUGAAUACGUUCCCGGGCCUUGUACACACCGCCCGUCACACCAUGAGAGUUUGUAACACCCAAAGUCGGUGGG
rnacentral:rRNA from 2 species